CCCUGUUGGUUUUUUAAGGAAACAUUGUUUCCGUUGUAUAACAUUGAACUGACGCAGCUGUUUUUUCACAUGCUGGCUAACGAGAAGGUCAUGGUUUAGUGUCAUCAAUGUGUAGAAGUCAAUUUCAGAUGUGCUUGUGUACGUGAGAGAGCAAAAACCUGACUGACUGUACAAUUAAUUCCUGUGCCAGGUGUUUUGGACCAGGAAGUCCAAGGAUUUGACAGCACACAUGGCUCUGACAUCAUCAAAACAAACAAAACAGUGACCUGUGACCUCUCUGUCAAGAGUUAAAGGUCGGGAGAUGGUGCACCCUGGUGAGCUUCACGCCUAGCUCGGUGGGGUGGUCUGUCAGCCUCCCUUUUCUUGUACUGCGCGGAUCGGGACCAUGACGACCCUACCGCAGCAGCACUCUGUCCAGAGGGCGGCUGAACAGCUGGCCUGAUGGACACAGGCGGAGUGACCUGCGGGAUGGAGGCCUGACCAGCAGGCUGUGUGGAGGA